UACGUAGGGUGCAAGCGUUGUCCGGAAUUAUUGGGCGUAAAGAGCUCGUAGGCGGUUUGUCGCGUCGGCUGUGAAAUCCCGGAGCUCAACUCCGGGCCUGCAGUCGAUACGGGCAGACUUGAGUGUUGCAGGGGAGACUGGAAUUCCUGGUGUAGCGGUGAAAUGCGCAGAUAUCAGGAGGAACACCGGUGGCGAAGGCGGGUCUCUGGGCAACAACUGACGCUGAGGAGCGAAAGCGUGGGGAGCGAACAGGAUUAGAAACCCCAGUAGUCC
rnacentral:rRNA from 1 species